GAGCAAGGCUCAAGGAGAGCAAGCCAGUAAGCAGUGUCCCUCUUCCAGGGCCCUGCCUUGGUUUCCCUUGAUGAUCUC
rnacentral:miRNA from 1 species